rnacentral:rRNA from 1 species
AUUGAACGCUGGCGGCAUGCUUUACACAUGCAAGUCGAACGGUAACAGGGUGCUUGCACCGCUGACGAGUGGCGAACGGGUGAGUAAUGCGUCGGAACGUGCCGAGUAGUGGGGGAUAACGCAGCGAAAGUUGUGCUAAUACCGCAUACGUACUGAGGUAGAAAGUGGGGGACCUUCGGGCCUCACGCUAUUCGAGCGGCCGACGUCUGAUUAGCUAGUAGGUGAGGUAAAGGCUCACCUAGGCGACGAUCAGUAGCGGGUCUGAGAGGAUGAUCAGCCACACUGGGACUGAGACACGGCCCAGACUCCUACGGGAGGCAGCAGUGGGGAAUUUUGGACAAUGGGCGAAAGCCUGAUCCAGCCAUGCGGCGUGUCUGAAGAAGGCCUUCGGGUUGUAAAGGACUUUUGUCAGGGAGGAAAUCCCUAGUGCUAAUAACACUGGGGGAUGACAGUACCUGAAGAAUAAGCACCGGCUAACUACGUGCCAGCAGCCGCGGUAA